UGAAAAUGAUCCCCGAGGGGAGCUGAAGAUCUCUGCAGUGUCAAAGUCUGAUGAAGGUUUCUACAAGUGUCAGUACUCAGGAAGAGAGUCAGCACAGAGCUGGAUGUCAGUUAAAGUAGGUGUGUUAUGUCCUGAAAGCUCUUCUUUGCCUGUGUGGUUGAUUGUUGGAUUGGCUUGUGGAAUCUCUGUCUUUAUUAUUGUCCUGCUCUCGUUUUAUCACUUUAGAAAAAAAAAGGAUUCAGGCUUCAUCAGUCCAAUGACCACCACCAAUCAUGUAGUCAACCAGAGUGAAAUUCACAAACACAACUGUCUUGACCAUGGUGCAGGUGAAAUACACGAUGUUACAUACUCUGUAAUUCAGCUUAAACAUGUUGGAAAAAAGAGGAAGCGUCAUAAAUCACAGGAGCAUACUAUUUACUCAGAGGUGAAGGUGGGAGUUGAAGAAAAAUCAAGUCCUGCAGCAUCUAAUGAGGAACUUUACUCCGAAGUCAGAUUAGAAAGCAGUCUCGAAGACAUUCCAACAUAUGCCGAGAUCAACCGUCACAAUAAAGCAAAAGCUAAGGAAAACCAGGAAGACAGUCCAACGUAUGCCCAGGUCAACCGUCACAAUAAAAGAGCAUCCAAGAACAACCAGCAUACAAUUGAGAACUAACUUAAUUGACCUGUCAUUGAACCGAAUUGUAGCAGUAAAACCAACCUCAAGCUUCUUAUACAGAAAUGUCUGUAGCUUGUUCAGUAUUUUGUACAGUUUUUUUAGUGAUAGUCAUCAUCAUUAUAAUAUACAGUAUACAAUAUAUAUAAUAUAUGGUACAGACAAGGUGUUUUCAUUUAGUGUUCAUAUUAUCUGUAUUCAUUUAAUAAUAAAACAUGAUUUAAAGUUAGCUUUUGCAGUGUAACAUACGAUAGGUUCCUCUAUGGGUACAAAGAAAUACUAUAAAUGCAUGUAUUGAAAGUUUUUGAACAUUACCUAAAAGAGGACUGAUAUAAUACUGUAUGGAUUUAAAUGUGUGAAUAAAUGCAUUUCUUCAUGGAAAUUGUAUGCAGUUAUAGUUUGGGUUUUUAUCUUUUUUUAUUUUGGCCUGAGCAGUGUUUUUGUUCUAUCAUGAUAUAGCUCUACAAUAUAAUUGUAAAAAUGUAAAGGAUUUAUCUUUUGUAACUUUCAACUAAAUGACCAUGUAUACAAUAUGAAUAGCAAAUCACAGAGACAGCUUAAAGUUAAUAGACAUUUAGUACUGGGGUUCUAUUAUUUUGAAAAACGAGUGUUUAGAAAAUCCAAUCAGAGUAAAUUCUCCGCUAUAAAAAUUUUCCUCUACAUUGGACCUAAUAAUUUGCUCAUGCACCAUUUUUCUUCCGAUCUUCACUGAAAAUGGGAAAAUACUAUUUUCAGACAAAGACUCAAAAUCUCAAAAUUUUGGCAAUCUGGGUUGGUCAAAAAUCAACCAAGCAACUUUUUUUUUUUUUUCUUCGCAAUUUUGAGACCAACUGAACAGCUUUAUCCUUUCAUCUCUGCAUAUAAUGUUGGAACACCUGGGCUUGAGGUACCCCUGUUCUGAGUAAGCUUGGUUAUAAAAGUGCCCUCCUUUCUGCAGUCACACCUCUCCAUUGCUCUCUGUCUGGAUUUUUGUUUAAAGCCUUCUGACUUGGACAAGCCAGGAUAUAGCAUGAUUUCUUGAGUCAUUUUUUGUUGCUUUCUACAUGCUUUGCUAUGCAUCCUGCAUUAACGAUGGGCAACAACAUUUUGGUAUUGAUCCAAUGUUGUGUGCACUUUAUGUAGUCCUGUAUUGAUUUACUGUUUUAUGUAGCACCAAGGUCUUGGAGGAAUGCUGUCUCGUUUCACUGUGUACUGAACCAC
ensembl:lncRNA